rnacentral:rRNA from 1 species
GGGUCAGUAGGUCGGUCGUGCCACCGGUACGUACUGGUCUCACUGAUUCCUCCUUCCUGAAGAACCGUAAUGCCAUUAAUUUGGUGUUGCGGGGAAACAGGACUGUUACUUUGAAAAAAUUAGAGUGUUUAAAGCAAGCUAACGCUUGAAUACAAUAGCAUGGAAUAAUGAAAUAGGACGAUCGAUCCUAUUUUGUUGGUUUCUAGGAUUGACGUA